GGAGGAACUUCCUCCCUCAGCUCUGGUUCCAGGGGACACAGCCUGCAGUUCCACAUUUGGAUCGAGUGAAGGCUGCAUCCAACCUUAGGAUACCUGUUAUGGUCACAUGUUUUGGAAUAUACCCUUCUUCAGAAGCCAACACAGAAUUGGUGGUUGUGAGGUAAAUGAAUACCUCAUAUGGCAGGUGCAGAAGGGCUUUCAACCGUGGUCAAACCUGGCCCUUGAACACUGCUGAGUAAGCUGAAAGUGGAAUUAAACUGUGGCUCAGUGUGGCCUUAAUACAGUACUAUAUUCCCUGGAACAAUCCUGCAGUAUCCAUUCCCAUUGAAAUAAUGACUGAACGUGAGCAUGAACUGGGGAGAUCCUGAUAAAGGCUGACAGCAUGCAAGGAAGCUGUACGAAGACAGAGAGGGUAGGCCUCAGCCUGCCCUGACAAUGAAUAUGGCAGGAGCUCAGAAAACCAGUGUCUCUUGGAAGAGCUCCCUACAUCACCGGUACAGGGAAAUUAUUCAUCUUCUCCCUGAACUGCACCAUCAGCCUACCUCCCCCACCCAUGCCACAAAGGCCUUAAUUUGAUCCAGUGUGCACCAGAGAUAAGGGACCUGUUUUCAAUGCCCAAAACUACCCCUGGAACACAUAAAAUGGCAAAAUAAAAUUACAUAAAUAAAACCCUUACACAUCAGCAGGAUACCUUCAUUCAUUGCUAACUAAUCAUAACCAACCCCAUAUAUUUAGGAUUACAAGGGAAAUCUACCAGUUUCCAAGAAGACAACGAAGCAUGAGGUCAAAUACCUCUUAGCUUAGAAAAUAAGUAUGUAUAUAGACCAUUUAAAGGUAAAGUUGCACCGUCGAAUCGGUGUCGACUCCUGGUGACCACAGAGCCCUGUGGUUGUCUUUGGUAGAAUACAGGAGGAGUUUACCAUUGCCUCCUCCCACGCAGUAUGAAAUGAUUCCUUUCAGCAUCUUCCUAUAUCGCGGCUGCCCAUAUAGAUCAUUUAGCCCAGCAUUUUUUAUCGCUUUCAGCAACUUAUAUUAUUGAACUGAAUGAGUGGUCAAGAGUCUACACAUAUCAUUUUGUAUGCAUGUCUGUAUCCAUGUACAUAUUUCUGUGUGAAUGGGGUAGUUUGGACAAAACACCCACCAGCCCUCUAAACUGUAUGAGGGAAGGAUGUGGAAACAGGUAUUUAAUCCCCACAUUGAGGGGCAGUUGAGGGGCAUGCUAUCUACUAUUGUUUAAUUAUGAAGGAGUGUGUGUAGCUCAACUGACCCUUAAUGUGUGCAUUAAAAACUAUUUUAAUGUAGUAUUUAAUUCAUGCAACCCCUGACAUGAUCAGAUGACAGCUGGACAGCGCUCCUGAACUCCUCCCCCACAUGACUGAGAGGGCUUUGGACAUAGUGGACCGGGUCUCAUGAUCAGUGAGACCCGGUUUCGUCUGGUGAGUGGGCAGGGAGCCCUGGGCGGCCGGAUCGGCCGCCCACAUGAUGGCCAGCUCCGA